UACGUAGGGGGCAAGCGUUAUCCGGAUUUACUGGGUGUAAAGGGAGCGUAGACGGCUGUACAAGUCUGAAGUGAAAGCCCGUGGCUCAACCGCGGAACUGCUUUGGAAACUGUAAAGCUGGAGUACUGGAGAGGCAGGCGGAAUUCCUAGUGUAGCGGUGAAAUGCGUAGAUAUUAGGAGGAACACCAGUGGCGAAAGCGGCUCUCUGGUCUGUAACUGACGCUGGGGUUCGAAAGCGUGGGUAGCAAACAGG
rnacentral:rRNA from 1 species